GACGAACGCUGGCGGCGUGCCUAAUACAUGCAAGUAGGACGCAGUUGCGAACGGGUGAGUAACGCGUAGGUAACUACCUACUAGAGGGGGAUAACAAUUGGAAACGAUAGCUCAUACCGCAUACUAGUAGAUGGACCUGCGUUGUAUUAGCUAGUAGGUAGGGUAAAGGCCUACCUAGGCAACGAUACAUAGCCGACCUGGGGGGGUUGGCGGCCACACUGGGACUUAGACACGGCCCAGACUCCUACGGGAAGCAGCAGUAGGGAAUCUUCGGCAAUGGGGGGAACCCUGACCGGGCAACGCCGCGUGAGUGAAGAAGGUUUUCGGAUCGUAAAGCUCUGUUGUUAAGGAAGCGGUACUUAACCAGAAAGGGACGGCUAACUACGUGCCAGCAGCCGCGGUAAUAC
rnacentral:rRNA from 1 species